GACGAACGCUGGCGGCGUGCCUAAUACAUGCAAGUCGAGCGGACGAAUCGAAAGCUUGCUUUUGAUUCGUUAGCGGCGGACGGGUGAGUAACACGCGGGCAACCUGCCCUGUAGACGGGGAUAACACCGAGAAAUCGGUGCUAAUACCGGAUAACACGAAAUGUCGCAUGACGUUUCGUUGAAAGACGGCGCAAGCUGUCGCUACAGGAUGGGCCCGCGGCGCAUUAGCUAGUUGGUGAGGUAACGGCUCACCAAGGCGACGAUGCGUAGCCGACCUGAGAGGGUGAUCGGCCACACUGGGACUGAGACACGGCCCAGACUCCUACGGGAGGCAGCAGUAGGGAAUCUUCCGCAAUGGACGAAAGUCUGACGGAGCAACGCCGCGUGAGCGAAGAAGGCCUUCGGGUCGUAAAGCUCUGUUGUUAGGGAAGAACAAGUAACGCAGUAACUGGCGUUACCGUGACGGUACCUAACGAGAAAGCCACGGCUAACUACGUG
rnacentral:rRNA from 1 species